rnacentral:rRNA from 1 species
CCAGACUCCUACGGGAGGCAGCAGUAGGGAAUCUUCCGCAAUGGGCGAAAGCCUGACGGAGCAACGCCGCGUGAGUGAUGAAGGUCUUCGGAUCGUAAAACUCUGUUAUUAGGGAAGAACAAACGUGUAAGUAACUGUGCACGUCUUGACGGUACCUAAUCAGAAAGCCACGGCUAACUACGUGCCAGCAGCCGCGGUAAUACGUAGGUGGCAAGCGUUAUCCGGAAUUAUUGGGCGUAAAGCGCGCGUAGGCGGUUUUUUAAGUCUGAUGUGAAAGCCCACGGCUCAACCGUGGAGGGUCAUUGGAAACUGGAAAACUUGAGUGCAGAAGAGGAAAGUGGAAUUCCAUGUGUAGCGGUGAAAUGCGCAGAGAUAUGGAGGAACACCAGUGGCGAAGGCGACUUUCUGGUCUGUAACUGACGCUGAUGUGCGAAAGCGUGGGGAUCAAACAGGAUUAGAUACCCUGGUAGUCCACGCCGUAAACGAUGAGUGCUAAGUGUUAGGGGGUUUCCGCCCCUUAGUGCUGCAGCUAACGCAUUAAGCACUCCGCCUGGGGAGUACGACCGCAAGGUUGAAACUCACAGGAAUUGACGGGGGCCCGCACAAG